GAUGAAGAACGCAGCGAAAUGCGAUAAGUAAUGUGAAUUGCAGAAUUCAGUGAAUCAUCGAAUUUUUGAACGCACAUUGCGCCCCCUGGUAUUCCGGGGGGCAUGCCUGUUCGAGCGUCAUUUCACCACUCAAGCCUCGCUUGGUAUUGGGCAACGCGGUCCGCCGCGUGCCUCAAAUCGACCGGCUGGGUCUUCUGUCCCCUAAGCGUUGUGGAAACUAUUCGCUAAAGGGUGUUCGGGAGGCUACGCCGUAAAACAACCCCAUUUCUAAGGUUGACCUCGGAUCAGGUAGGGAUACCCGCUGAACUUAAGCAUAUCAAUAAGCGGAGGA
rnacentral:misc_RNA from 1 species